GUUUUGUUUUUGCCAUGAUCUUUAAUCUUAAACCUUCAAAAAAUCCCCCAAAAAAGUGAUUUUUAGGUUGAUGGGUAUCAAUAUAAAGCUAUUUUAAUGGAGAAAUGGAUGAUUUGGGAGCAUGUUUAUGUGAUUUUGAUGAAAAGGGAAAAUGAAAUCUGCAAUUUGGGUGGGAAGAAGAAGAAAAAGAGAGAAGACUGAAGAACCUAGCUAGUUUGUUCUUUUGUUUUCUUUGUGUGAGAAAAACAAGAAAAGAUACCAAGAGAGAGAGAGAGAGUGAUGUUAAGCAUGCAAAUGUAAGAGAAAGAGUUUAUCACAUUAUUUAUUGAUUUAUUCCACAUCAUCAUCAAGAUAUCAUGGUUCAUGUAUUCACAUGAAGGCGCAUGCAUGGUAAUCAAUGUAACGGUUAUCUUAUCCAAUCUAUAUUUUUUUU
rnacentral:lncRNA from 1 species